rnacentral:rRNA from 1 species
GAUGAACGCUAGCUACAGGCUUAACACAUGCAAGUCGCGGGGCAGCAUGGGGGUUGCUUGCCAUCCCUGAUGGCGACCGGCGCACGGGUGAGUAACGCGUAUCCAACCUGCCCUUCACCACGGGAUAACCCGGCGAAAGUCGGACUAAUACCGUAUGUUGUCCAUUGACGGCCUCCGAUUUGGACGAAAGGCUUAGCGGUGAGGGAUGGGGAUGCGUCCGAUUAGCUUGACGGCGGGGUAACGGCCCACCGUGGCUACGAUCGGUAGGGGUUCUGAGAGGAAGGUCCCCCACACUGGAACUGAGACACGGUGCAGACUCCUACGGGAGGCAGCAGUGAGGAAUAUUGGUCAAUGGGCGUAAGCCUGAACCAGCCAAGUAGCGUGCAGGAUGACGGCCCUAUGGGUUGUAAACUGCUUUUAUGCGGGGAUAAAGGGACCCACGUGUGGGUUUUUGCAGGUACCGCAUGAAUAAGGACCGGCUAAUUCCGUG